GCAAAUUCAUCAACAUGUUCGCUGUGCUGGACGAGCUGAAGAACAUGAAGUGCAGUGUGAAGAACGACCACUCAGCGUACAAGAGGGCCGCUCAGUUUUUACGUAAAAUGGCAGAUCCACAGUCCAUCCAGGAAUCGCAGAAUCUGUCCAUGUUCCUGGCCAAUCAUAACAAGAUCACACAGUCUCUGCAGCAGCAGCUCGAAGUGAUUUCUGGCUACGAAGAGCUCCUGGCAGA
rnacentral:misc_RNA from 1 species